CAGCCGCCACGGGAAUACAGAGGGUGCGAGCGUUAAUCGGAUUUACUGGGCGUAAAGCGUGCGUAGGCGGCUAAUUGAGUCGGAUGUGAAAUCCCCGAGCUUAACUUGGGAAUUGCAUUCGAUACUGGUUAGCUAGAGUGUGGGAGAGGAUGGUAGAAUUCCAGGUGUAGCGGUGAAAUGCGUAGAGAUCUGGAGGAAUACCGAUGGCGAAGGCAGCCAUCUGGCCUAACACUGACGCUGAGGUACGAAAGCAUGGGGAGCAAACAGGAUUAGAUACCCGGGUAGUCCCUGUCUCUUAUAC
rnacentral:rRNA from 1 species